AGUAAAUUGGCAGAGUAGUGCAUUUGAUUUAGGAUCAAAAAAUGGUCGACGACCACCCACUA
rnacentral:tRNA from 1 species